rnacentral:rRNA from 1 species
UACGUAGGAUGCAAGCGUUGUCCGGAAUUAUUGGGCGUAAAGAGCGCGCAGGCGGUAUGACAAGUCAGAUGUGAAAGAGGCCGGCUUAACCGGCAAGGGUCAUUUGAAACUGUCAGACUAGAGUGCAGCAGAGGAUAGUGGAAUUUCCGGUGGAGCGGUGAAAUGCGUAGAGAUCGGAAAGAACACCAACGGCGAAAGCACUCUGCUGGGCCGACACUGACACUGAGAGACGAAAGCUAGGGGAGCGAAUGGG